rnacentral:rRNA from 1 species
AUUGAACGCUGGCGGCAUGCCCUACACAUGCAAGUCGAACGGCAGCGCGGACUUCGGUCUGGCGGCGAGUGGCGAACGGGUGAGUAAUACAUCGGAACGUACCCUGUUGUGGGGGAUAACUAGUCGAAAGAUUAGCUAAUACCGCAUACGACCUGAGGGUGAAAGUGGGGGACCGCAAGGCCUCACGCAGCAGGAGCGGCCGAUGUCUGAUUAGCUAGUUGGUGGGGUAAAGGCCCACCAAGGCAACGAUCAGUAGCUGGUCUGAGAGGACGAUCAGCCACACUGGGACUGAGACACGGCCCAAACUCCUACGGGAGGCAGCAGUGGGGAAUUUUGGACAAUGGGGGCAACCCUGAUCCAGCAAUGCCGCGUGUGUGAAGAAGGCCUUCGGGUUGUAAAGCACUUUUGUCCGAAGAGAAAUCGCGCUGGUUAAUACCUGGCGUGGAUGACGGUACCGGAAGAAUAAGCACCGGCUAACUACGUGCCAGCCGCCGCAGUAA